UACGAACUGUGCAAACGUUAUUCGGAAUCACUGGGCUUAAAGGGUGCGUAGGCGGCUGUCUAAGCAGGGUGUGAAAGCCCCCGGCUCAACCGGGGAAUUGCGUUCUGAACUGGACGGCUGGAGUGGGAUAGGGGUGUGUGGAACUUCCGGUGGAGCGGUGAAAUGCGUUGAGAUCGGAAGGAACGCCCGUGGCGAAAGCGAGGUCCUGGACCCUUUCUGACGCUGAGACGCGAAAGCCAGGGGAGCGAACGGG
rnacentral:rRNA from 1 species